rnacentral:rRNA from 1 species
CCCUUAGAUGUUCUGGGCCGCACGCGCGCUACACUGACGAUGGCAACGAGUUUUUCCUUCGCCGAAAGGUGUGGGUAAUCUUUUGAAACAUCGUCGUGCUGGGGAUAGAUCAUUGCAAUUUUUGAUCUUGAACGAGGAAUUCCUAGUAAGCGCGAGUCAUCAGCUCGCGUUGAUUACGUACCUGCCCUUUGUACACACCGCCCGUCGCUACUACCGAUUGAAUGGUUUAGUGAGGACUCCUGAUUGGCGCCGCCGCCCCGGCAACGGAGCAGCGGACUGCCGAAAAGUUGUUCAAACUUGAUCAUUUAGAGGAAGUAAAAGUCGUAACA